UCUUGUCAAAUACAACUUGGCCAAUUCAAACUUAGGGAGAUACCAUUUGAUUUUUAUGGGCUAGGAUGAAAUUUUUUGUCCUGCAUUUUAUUUAGUUGUAAUCUCUGUCCUGCCUUUUUAUUUUUCACUAUAUUUGGUCCUGCCUUUUUUAUAUAAAUUUAUCCCGUUUUUUUGCCCAGUUGCUCAUCCUGCCUUCUUUUUUACUAAACAAUCCUGUCUUGCCUUUUUUAUACUCAAAUCCCUGUCCUGCAGGAUUUUUUUUAAUUUCAUCAUAGCCCUCUCCCCCUCCCCCCCCCCCCAAAAAAAAAAUCAAAUGGUAGCCCCCUUAACUUGGACUCGGAACUUGGAAUAAAAAAAAACAAUUAAUUAC
rnacentral:lncRNA from 1 species